rnacentral:rRNA from 1 species
UACGAAGGGGGCUAGCGUUGCUCGGAAUUACUGGGCGUAAAGGGAGCGUAGGCGGGUUAUCAAGUUGGGGGUGAAAGCCCGGGGCUCAACCUCGGAAUUGCCCUCAAAACUGGUAGCCUAGAGUAUGAUAGAGGUAUGUGGAACUCCGAGUGUAGAGGUGAAAUUCGUAGAUAUUCGGAAGAACACCAGUGGCGAAGGCGACAUACUGGGUCAUGACUGACGCUGAGGCUCGAAAGCGUGGGGAGCAAACAGG